rnacentral:rRNA from 1 species
GUGCACCAGGCGAGAAACCUUCGCAAUGCGGGAAACCGCGACGAGGGGACUCCCAGUGCCUACGCUCAGCGUAGGCUGUUCCCGAGCCUAGAAAGCUCGGGGAGUAAGGGCUGGGUAAGACGGGUGCCAGCCGCCGCGGUAAUACCCGCAGCCCGAGUGGUGGCCACUAUUAUUGGGCCUAAAGCGUCUGUAGCCGGCCCGGUAAAUGCCUGGGUAAAUCGUGAGGCCUAACCUCACGAAUUCCGGGUAGACUGCCGGGCUAGGGGACCGGA